CCACCAUCAAAGCUCUCAAAGAAAAGGAAGCUCGGUGUCAUUUUAAUCACCAUCAAAUCUGAAGAUCGAAGCCACCAUUGAAGAUCUUUGUUUCUGUUUUUUAGAGAGAGAAAGCUAAUGUUUUAGAAGGAGAGACAACAAUUUUCAUGUUGUUCACCUAGACACCAAGAAUACACGCACAAGUGUGUGAGAGAGAAACAGGUGAAAAGAUGUUUUGUGUUCAAGAUGAAGAUGGUUAUCAAGAAGCGAAACCCGCCGAAUGAUUACAACGCAUCAUCAGGUUUUCGUGGUGACGAUGGUGUGUUUUUUGGUUGGCUGCUAUGUGUUAUGAAGAUGGAUGUAGUUGUGAAGACCAUUUUUAGAAGCAUUACAACUAUUGAUAUAAAAUUCAUUUUUAUUUUCAUUGUUAGUACGCCAAUUUUUGGAUGAAUACGAAUGUUGAAUACGGAUGUUAGUAUGCCAAUUUUUGGCUGCAAUUUUU